rnacentral:rRNA from 1 species
CGGGUGAGUAAUGCGUGACCAACCUGCCCCAUGCUCCAGAAUAGCUCUUGGAAACGGGUGGUAAUGCUGGAUGCUCCAACUUGACGCAUGUCUUGUUGGGAAAGUGUUUAGUGGCAUGGGAUGGGGUCGCGUCCCAUCAGCUUGUAGGCGGGGUAAUGGCCCACCUAGGCUUCGACGGGUAGCCGGCCUGAGAGGGCGGACGGCCACAUUGGGACUGAGAUACGGCCCAGACUCCUACGGGAGGCAGCAGCG